UAGGUGUAGUUUUUUUCUUUCAGGUAUUUAGUGCUUUCCAUAUGGUAUGCUUAUUGACUGUGACCCGAGACUCGAGUCUAGCUAAUUCACGAACUGACUGCCCCAAGUCUCGCGUGGUGUAUAGGACAUAGAUAAGUAAUGGUUUUAUGUGUGCGGUUGAGAUGUCGGCUAGUCUUCAUGCGGGAUAAGAUGGCUGGGGAAUGGCGCGACGGCGGGCAGACGAUAUCCGAUACACAUCAUAACAGAGAUAAGCGUGACCUUGCGGCCGCAACAAAGGCCACCAGACGGACACCUUUUGGCUGUGACGUCACAAAUUCACUGGCUGUAGAUGGAAACAUGGAAAGAACAAGCGAGAGCGAGAACAGCCAUUUAGCGUCAGAUUGCGACUGAGUUUUGAGAAAUCAGAUUAUGCUGAAAAUGGCUUUAUAUGUAGAUUUCAUCCAGAAACAUCAAAUUUGCAAGAACUUUCAGACAGUGGGUUGAAUGGAAACCAAACUGACGACUCUAAAUAGGGCAACAGACUGGAAGCAUUGCUGGUCCAGUUUCUGAGCACUAAUGAGAAAUUUGCUGAAUAAACAAAUUUGAGGAAAUUAAACA